CGGCGUGCCUAAUACAUGCAAGUCGAGCGGAAAUUUAUUGGUGCUUGCACCUUAAAAUUUAGCGGCGGACGGGUGAGUAACACGUGGGUAACCUACCUUAUAGAUUGGGAUAACUCCGGGAAACCGGGGCUAAUACCGAAUAAUACUUUUUAACACAUGUUUGAAAGUUGAAAGACGGUUUCGGCUGUCACUAUAAGAUGGACCCGCGGCGCAUUAGCUAGUUGGUGAGGUAACGGCUCACCAAGGCAACGAUGCGUAGCCGACCUGAGAGGGUGAUCGGCCACACUGGGACUGAGACACGGCCCAGACUCCUACGGGAGGCAGCAGUAGGGAAUCUUCCACAAUGGACGAAAGUCUGAUGGAGCAACGCCGCGUGAGUGAAGAAGGAUUUCGGUUCGUAAAACUCUGUUGCAAGGGAAGAACAAGUAGCGUAGUAACUGGCGCUACCUUGACGGUACCUUGUUAGAAAGCCACGGCUAACUACGUGCCAGCAGCGGC
rnacentral:rRNA from 1 species